AACGUAGGUUCCGAGCGUUAUCCGGAUUUACUGGGCGUAAAGCGCGUUCAGGCGGUUUGGCAAGUCGGGCAUGAAAUCUCUCGGCUCAACCGGGAGAGGUUGUCCGAUACUGCUGGACUUGAGGGCAGUAGAGGGUGGUGGAAUUCCGGGUGUAGUGGUGAAAUGCGUAGAUAUCCGGAGGAACACCAGUGGCGAAAGCGGCCACCUGGACUGCACCUGACGCUGACACGCGAAAAGCGUGGGGAGCAAACAGG
rnacentral:rRNA from 1 species